UCCAGACUCCUACGGGAGGCAGCAGUGGGGGAUAUUGCACAAUGGGGGAAACCCUGAUGCAGCGACGCCGCGUGGGUGAAGAAGCGCCUCGGCGCGUAAAGCCCUGUCAGCAGGGAAGAAAAUGACGGUACCUGAAGAAGAAGCCCCGGCUAACUACGUGCCAGCAGCCGCGGUAAUACGUAGGGGGCAAGCGUUAUCCGGAUUUACUGGGUGUAAAGGGGGCGCAGACGGCGAUGCAAGCCAGGAGUGAAAGCCCGGGGCCCAACCCCGGGACUGCUCUUGGAACUGCGUGGCUGGAGUGCAGGAGGGGCAGGCGGAAUUCCUGGUGUAGCGGUGAAAUGCGUAGAUAUUAGGAGGAACACCAGUGGCGAAGGCGACUUUCUGGACUGUACCUGACGCUGAGGCGCGAAAGCGUGGGUAGCGAACGGGAUUAGAUACCCUAGUAU
rnacentral:rRNA from 1 species